UUAAAAGCUGUCAUGACAACUGAUAUUAAUCAUUAACACGAGAACCAACGUCAUAUGAAUCUAAAAUUAAUAGUCAUAGAGUCCAAUUAUUAAAAAAAACACUAAUUGUCAAUUACACAUGACUGUUCUAACACGUUAAAAUCAAACACAGUAGAAUGAAUUCAACGAUCCACUUCAACUUCAUUUAUCCUUCAAAUUGAAUUACAAAGAUCCAUCAAAGCUUACAUGAGAUCAAGGAAGGUACCUGGAAGUAGAAAGCAAUGAAGGAGAAGAAGAGGUCAACGACAAUCAGCAAUCAAUCACAAAUAGCUCAGCAAUAAAAUCAAACAGUCUGGUAAUGUUUAAACCAAACAAAAGCUAACAAAUCCACUCCAACACAGCAGCGAGUCAACCCAGAAAUGAACACUGAUGCAUAAACAACAAGCAAACACCCAAACUAGAUUCGAAAUACCAAUGUCAACUCGAAAUCGAACAAAAUAAUUCAAAACUGAACUGAAAAUCCUUCUGGAACUUCACUAAUGCAAAGCUCAGCCAAAAAUCCCACUUAAUUUGAUUUAAAUAUACUCAAAAGGACCUCUAAGAUUCAACAAACAAAUAUAGCAACUACAGAAUGCAAGUCACAACCAAAAGCUGAAAUCCAUUUCCCAUUUCAACGGAACAUUAAUCCUAAACUUUUUUUGUUUGUUUUCUAAUGAUUUUCUAUUGUUUUUGGGGGUUUUGAACGUUUGAAUUAAAAAAAAAGAUCUCAAAAUUAGAGUGGGGUUUUGGGGAACUAGCUGGCUGAAAACAAACCCCCUCAACAAGGCAUUUGUGAUGCCUUUUAUAGGCAACCAGCAUAUUCUCCACUUUCUUUUUAGUCCCUCACUUAUUGACUUGUUUCUCAAGUUAUCCUACUAACAUUGCUGAAUUUUGCACUUAAUCCCUACUUUGGAAAGUCCUAGAAGAUUUUAGUUUAGGCUACCAUGUACUACCCAAUCCUAAAUGUCUAAACUACCCUUGAAUUUAACCUGAAAUUACAAAUCUUAUCUGAUUGACCCUCAACCCCUUCUUUCCCUGAUUAGAACUAACAACUACAACCCAAUUCAGAGCUCGAACAAAUCCUAGACUAACUAAUCUGAUUAAUCCAGAAAACCUAAAUGUAUUAAGAACUAACGCGGCAAUGAACCCAUCAAUUAAUAUCAAACAUAGCCUAAUUGAACCCAAUUAUGAAGACCAAACGAUCAAGAAUCAAAAUACAAAACGACCAUUUAAACCUAAAAUACUAAAUCAAUCAAACAAACUAAAAAUCAAAUCAAGCAACUAAAUCGACUGACUCAUGUUUUGACGGAUGGAACAAAAGAAUUAUAAAAGAAGAAGGAAAAAAAAAAGAAUCAAUUAAACUAAAUAGGCAUGCAAAAUUUAACCAAACCAGAGUAAAAAAAUAGAAAUGAAGAAAAAGACGAAACUCACUGACAAUUCCCAAUUUCCAGUGAUAUUUGAACCUUGUUGAAUAUGAAUUCUUCGUGAAAGAGGCUUAAUGACCAUGUAAUAUUGACUUAGUAGCUUUUCCGAGAGGUUAGGGUUUUCGGCCAAUCUUCAACUCAAGAUUCAAGACAAACUGAUGAUAUUCAAAGACAUCUGACUGGGGAUUGGAAAUGAGGAAGGGUAGAGGAGCAUGGGUGUGAAUUUGAACCGAUUUGGACAAGGUCGCGACUUGGCCGGAAAAUUUAAAAUGUAUAUUCGAAGCUUUCUGGGUGGAUUCGAGGGAAGCCAUUUGCAUAUUCGGAAAGAGGGUGAAAACGGGAGUUUGGGGUGUUAUUUUGGUGGCCAUUGGCGUAAUUGACGUCGUCCCCGCCGGCGAGCUCCGACGAAAGGAUAUGGGUGCGGCUAGAUUUUUAGGUUUAGGUUAGAGUUGGACGAGGGGGGGG
rnacentral:lncRNA from 1 species